CGUAGGGUGCGAGCGUUAAUCGGAAUUACUGGGCGUAAAGCGUGCGCAGGCGGUUCUGUAAGACAGGCGUGAAAUCCCCGGGCUCAACCUGGGAACUGCGCUUGUGACUGCAAGGCUAGAGUACGGCAGAGGGGGUGGAAUUCCACGUGUAGCAGUGAAAUGCGUAGAGAUGUGGAGGAACACCAAUGGCGAAGGCAGCCCCCUGGGUCGAUACUGACGCUCAUGCACGAAAGCGUGGGUAGCAAACAGGAUUAGAUACCCUGGUAGUCCACGCCCUAAACGAUGUCAACUAGGUGUUGGGUGGGUAAAACCAUUUAGUACCGGAGCUAACGCGUGAAGUUGACCGCCUGGGGAGUACGGCCGCAAGGUUA
rnacentral:rRNA from 1 species